AGAUUGAACGCUGGCGGCAGGCCUAACACAUGCAAGUCGAGCGGUAGAGAGGUGCUUGCACCUCUUGAGAGCGGCGGACGGGUGAGUAAUGCCUAGGAAUCUGCCUAGUGGUGGGGGAUAACGUUCGGAAACGGACGCUAAUACCGCAUACGGUCCUACGGGAGAAAGCGGGGGACCUUCGGGCCUCGCGCCAUUAGAUGAGCCUAGGUCGGAUUAGCUAGUUGGUGAGGUAAUGGCUCACCAAGGCGACGAUCCGUAACUGGUCUGAGAGGAUGAUCAGUCACACUGGAACUGAGACACGGGUCCAGACCU
rnacentral:rRNA from 1 species